UUGGUCCUACGGGGCGCAGCAGUGGGGAAUAUUGGGCAAUGGGCGCAAGCCUGACCCAGCAACGCCGCGUGAAGGAAGAAGGCUUUCGGGUUGUAAACUUCUUUUCUCAGGGACGAAGCAAGUGACGGUACCUGAGGAAUAAGCCACGGCUAACUACGUGCCAGCAGCCGCGGUAAUACGUAGGUGGCAAGCGUUAUCCGGAUUUACUGGGUGUAAAGGGCGUGUAGGCGGGAAAGCAAGUAAGAUGUGAAAACCAUGGGCUCAACCUGGGGCCUGCAUUUGAAACUGUUUUCCUUGGGUACUGG
rnacentral:rRNA from 1 species